rnacentral:rRNA from 1 species
AAGUCGAAGAAGAGGUUACUUUGGGUAACCAAAUCCGGUGCAACGGGAGCGGAACGCGUGGCAAUCUCCCUUUCACAUAGGGCUUGCCCGAAGAAAUUUGGAAUAAUACCUAAUGGUAUAUAAGAGCGGGCAUCGUUUUUUAUAUUAAAGCUAUGGUGGUGAAAGAUGAGUAUGCGUUCUAUUAUCUAGUUGGAGAGGUAACGGCUCCCCAAGGCGACGAUAGAUAGGGGUUCUGAGAGGGAUGUCCCCCACACUGGUACUGAGAUACGGACCAGACUCCUACGGGAGGCAGCAGUGAGGAAUAUUGGACAAUGGUCGGAAGACUGAUCCAGCCAUGCCGCGUGCAGGAUGAAGGUCCUAUGGAUUGUAAACUGCUUUUGUAAGGGAAGAAUAAGGAGUACGUGUACUUUGAUGACGGUACCUUACGAAUAAGCAUCGGCUAACUCCGUGCCAGCAGCCGCGGUAAUACGGAGGAUGCGAGCGUUAUCCGGAAUCAUUGGGUUUAAAGGGUCCGUAGGCGGGCUGAUAAGUCAGAGGUGAAAGCGCUUAGCUCAACUAAGCAACUGCCUUUGAAACUGUCAGUCUUGAAUGAUUGUGAAGUAGUUGGAAUGUGUAGUGUAGCGGUGAAAUGCUUAGAUAUUACACAGAACACCGAUAGCGAAGGCAUAUUACUAACAAUUUAUUGACGCCGAUGGACGAAAGCGUGGGGAGCGAACAGG